UACGGAGGGAGCUAGCGUUGUUCGGAAUUACUGGGCGUAAAGCGCGCGUAGGCGGCUUUGUAAGUUAGAGGUGAAAGCCCGGGGCUCAACCCCGGAACUGCCUUUAUGACUGCAUCGCUUGAAUCCGGGAGAGGUGAGUGGAAUUCCGAGUGUAGAGGUGAAAUUCGUAGAUAUUCGGAAGAACACCAGUGGCGAAGGCGGCUCACUGGACCGGCAUUGACGCUGAGGUGCGAAAGCGUGGGGAGCAAACAGG
rnacentral:rRNA from 1 species